UGGGGAAUAUUGCACAAUGGAGGGAACUCUGAUGCAGCGACGCCGCGUGAGUGAUGAAGGAAUUCGUUUCGUAAAACUCUGUUCUAUGGGAAGAAAAGGACUGUACCACAGGAGAAAGCUCCGGCUAAAUACGUGCCAGCAGCCGCGGUAAUACGUAUGGAGCGAGCGUUGUCCGGAAUUAUUGGGCGUAAAGGGUGCGCAGGCGGCUUUACAAGUUGGAUGUGAAAUAUUGUGGCUCAACCACAAACGUGCAUCCAAAACUGCAAAGCUUGAGUUAAGGAGAGGUAAGUGGAAUUCCUGGUGUAGCGGUGGAAUGCGUAGAUAUCAGGAGGAAUACCGGUGGCGAAGGCGACUUACUGGACUUAAACUGACGCUCAGGCACGAAAGCGUGGGGAGCAAACAGG
rnacentral:rRNA from 1 species